rnacentral:lncRNA from 1 species
UAUCCGCUGUUUGUAUGCCGCCAAUCGGGUGCCAAAACCCCAUCGGCAAGAGUUCUUAUGGACAGGGCUGGCCUAAGCACGUCCAGGCCCGGCCAGACCCAGGCUCAAAAUUUAAAUAAUUAAUAAAAUAGUUAAUCAAUUGCAUGGGCAUGGGCUUUGAGAUAAGUAUAAUUGUUUAAGAAAGGAGUACCUAACAGGUGAUCAUCAAGCAAUGACCUCUUUAUUUUAUUUUAGUUAUAGAAAUAUUGUGUGUUCUUACCCCUACUCUGAAGCUCAAUUAUGAUUUUACCCUCGUUUUUGUCUACUUCGUGAGUUUACCUCUACUUUUUCAAAAAUAAAAAGUCCGUUUACCCCUAUUCUUAACUCCGUUAGUUGCAUCUAGAAUAAACAAAGUAAAAAAAUUAUGAAAACCCUUCAAAACAGGGUGAAAAAGACAACAAUACCCCCUAUCCCUUUCUACCCCAUCCCCUCCCGAGUCCUGACGCCUCUCUUUCUCUCGAUCUCUCUCCCGACGUCUCCCUCUCUCAGACCUCUAGCUCUAGCGGCUGCAAUUCUAGCAAGGGUAGCAGGAUUCCGGCGACUGGUGGGUGGCGAGCGGCCAGGGCAACGAGAUUCCUGUGGCUAGCAGGCGGUGGGCGGCCAGGAUGCUCGGGUGGGUGGGAGGCGCGGGAGGCUGGGGGCCUGGGCGCACUUCUAGUUGGGGGAUUGAGCGUGGUGCGAGGCAGUCAAGGGGCACGAGCGCGCAGCCCGUCCAGUGGUGGCUUGGUGUCAUGGUGGUGUCGUAGCUUCUCCGGCGUUGGAGCUCCGUAAUCCCUCUGAGUUGUGGAUGUACUCCGGCGACACGGUUCUUCAUGGAUGUGCUUGUGAGGGGAGAGGCAAACCCACCGGCCGGCUAAUGGUUAUUGCAAGCUCUUAAUAGCAAGUUGGCACGAGAUGCGCAAGCAGUUCUACUAGCUUGGACCUCAUAUUUAUUUUCCUGUGAAAGUAUAGGCCUGAAUGUUCAUUUUUCAAGUUGCUUUGUAGGAUGAAUUAGUUUCAGUUUUUAGGCACGAGAUGCAAG